GAUGAACGCUAGCGACAGGCUUAACACAUGCAAGUCGAGGGGCAGCAUAGAAGUAGCAAUACUUUGGUGGCGACCGGCGCACGGGUGAGUAACGCGUAUGCAACCUACCUAUCAGAGGGGAAUAACCCGGCGAAAGUCGGACUAAUACCGCAUAAAACAGGGGCACCGCAUGGUGAUAUUUGUUAAAGAAAUUCGCUGAUAGAUGGGCAUGCGUUCCAUUAGGUAGUUGGUGAGGUAACGGCUCACCAAGCCGACGAUGGAUAGGGGAACUGGGAGGUUGGUCCCCCACACUGGUACUGAGACACGGACCAGACUCCUACGGGAGGCAGCAGUGAGGAAUAUUGGUCAAUGGGCGGGAGCCUGAACCAGCCAAGUCGCGUGAAGGAAGAAGGAUCUAUGGUUCGUAAACUUCUUUUGCAGGGGGAUAAAGUGCAGGACGUGUCCUGUUUUGUAUGUACCCUGAGAAUAAGGAUCGGCUAACUCCGUGCCAGCAGCCGCGGUAAGAC
rnacentral:rRNA from 1 species